CCAGAAAAAGCUUGGAGCUCGGCGGCCCAGACUAAUCAAAAAAUGGAAUAACAUGACAACAAUUACACUGAUGAGUGAGAGGGAAGCUACGGAUGCAUUCAGACACCUAUGGCACUGCAGACUGGAUGCAUUCAGCAUUUUUGUUUAGUGUCUUGUGUUUUUUAAGAGCAGUCGAAGUGGGAAGAAGAAUAAUGCCUGGCUGACAGGAUAUCAUCAAAGGACACAGGUGCUGCUUCUCCACGGACAAGAAUCCGCAAGCUGCACAUUCUUCUUUAAACUGCUGUGGCAGGUAGUCUGGUGCCAGCAACGAGAGUGGUUCCUCUGACACCCAGAGAAAUAGGCUGCCAGGAGGAGUCUUGUUGGGCUUGCAGAGCAGUGUCAAGUCAGCAGUGCACCACAGAAAGAAUCUGCUCAAGUACCAAGGGUCAUGCUGCGGUCCUUGGGGCCAUGGUGUGGGUCUCCAAGCUUGGCCAGUUGCUGAUAAGAAGAGUUCAUCAAGUCAUCAGGGCCUUGAAUAAUGGAAGGUCUAGUUCAUAUCUUCAGGUGAAAAUGGGUAUGUUAAGUGAGGACUUUGUCCAGAAGCUGUUAUUUCUGUGCUCUAGAUCUAAUUCCCACAAUGUUUAUGUGUGGUGACCUGCAGUUUUAAGU